GCGCCAGCAUACAGAGGGGCAAGUAGAGCAUUAAAAAGCCCAUGAACAUGUAUGGUAUGAGUUAAGGAGAUCAAAGUAAAGAAUAUUCUCAAAUUAGGUAUUCAGCAUCGGCACUAAGAAGGAAUUCAUUCUAUUAUGAUUAUAUAAAUGCUUGUUGAUGGAUAUGAUGUAGUGGUAGACAAUGCAGAAACUGAUCAGUAGAUGUAUACUCCCAGGCAUCAGCCAGCAUUUUCACCUGAAAUAAAGAAAAACUUGUCAAAAG